rnacentral:lncRNA from 1 species
GGACAUUAGAUAUUCUUUGAGAGACGGCAGGUACUUGAGUAAACAAGAAAUGCCCACCAUAGGCCUGAAGGAGAAGUUUCCCUUUUAACCUACUCUCUUGGAUCACAGAUGGAGAGACAUUUUGCCACACGAUGAAUCACACACCACAUCUCAUCCCCGAGCUUCAGCUGCAGGACAAUGCUGCCAGAGGCCUGGUCCUCAGAGCUCACGAUCUUAUCAAAUUUAAUGGGCACAUCUGAAGAAGGAAACUUGCUCAGCACCGUGAGCCCCACAGUGAAAGCACUUUUUGGCAAGACUAGAGUCUCACCGAUUUUCCCUUUCUCUCCUCGAUCUCCUUUCCAGCCUCUUAUUCCCCGGACUCCUGGCUCACCCUGGGGCCCCGUGGGUCCAGCUUCUCCCUUGGGACCAGGCUUUCCAAUAGGGCCCAUGGGGCCCGGUAAACCAGUUGGGCCCAAAGGCCCAAUGUUGCCCCUUGGCCCCUCAGGACCAGUGGGACCCACGUCACCCUUAUUCCCCUUCUGCCCCUGAGGCCCAGUCUCUCCUCGGAGGCCUUUCUCUCCCAUGGGCCCUGCAAGCCCCUUGGGGCCAUGUUUUCCUGGGGAUCCUCUUGAGCCUUGAUCACCUUUGAUGCCUUUUGCUUCAACUUUUCCAUCUGCUCCUAAAUAGAGAAAGAGCAA